rnacentral:rRNA from 1 species
AUUGAACGCUGGCGGCAGGCUUAACACAUGCAAGUCGAGCGGAGAUGAGGUGCUUGCACCUUAUCUUAGCGGCGGACGGGUGAGUAAUGCUUAGGAAUCUGCCUAUUAGUGGGGGACAACAUUCCGAAAGGAAUGCUAAUACCGCAUACGUCCUACGGGAGAAAGCAGGGGAUCUUCGGACCUUGCGCUAAUAGAUGAGCCAAAGUCGGAUUAGCUAGUUGGUGGGGUAAAGGCCUACCAGGGCGACGAUCUGUAGCGGGUCUGAGAGGAUGAUCCGCAACACUGGGACUGAGACACGGCCCAGACUCCUACGGGAGGCAGCAGUGGGGAAUAUUGGACAAUGGGCGGAAGUCUGAUCCAGCCAUGCCGCGUGUGUGAAGAAGGCCUUUUGGUUGUAAAGCACUUUAAGCGAGGAGGAGGCUACCUAGAUUAAUACUCUGGGAUAGUGGACGUUACUCGCAGAAUAAGCACCGGCUAACUCUGUGCCAGCCGCCGCCGUAAUAU